rnacentral:lncRNA from 1 species
CACCUGGAAUAAUGGAAGAUUUGAGCUGAACCCUGUUCAAUCUCUCAUUUUCUUCUUUCAGUUGCUCCCCCAGCUGACAUUUACCACUGGUGAAGUUGACAUUGUUCGGAGAAAACUUGAUUUCAAAACGGAUUCCCAAACUAUGAAGCCUGGGAUCCACUGAGCAAUAACAUAUUUUUCGUUCAUUUGGGAAGAAGAAGGAAUCCCUGAAAUUAGUGGAGGGAUCUGCAGACUGGAGUUUUCAAAGGCACACAGUAAAUAUUGCAUGCAUGAACUGGAAUCCAAUCAUAUCUCACCCACCAACUCAUCUGUGGUUGUGGGGAUUUCAACAAUACAGCCCGUGAGCAGGUUUCACUAUGAUCGGACGCUGACAACCCUUGUAGCCAUGGCUCAUAUCUGCCCCUGUCUACAGGAAAGUGGCCAUUUUCCCAUAAGCCACGCUUAUGAAAUCCAAAGUUGAUGCCAAGCAGGACACCAGGCAUUGCCCUCCACCCCGGCUCCUUGGAUGGCCCUCCACCAAGCCCACUGUGAUGAGACCAUCUUCCCGAGAACCACAGGAAAUUCAAGAGAGGCAGCUGCCCAUGUCUUUGCAUCCCAGGAAAUUCUGCAGUAGGGCUACUGAGGCCUUAUUGUCAUUUCUAUGCUGAUGAUAAACAGUUCACAGACCAAUAUGAGCAUCUGGACCAACCUUUGAGAAACACAGAAUUGGAAAACCUUUUCAUUCCAAGACGACUUAUAAUUUUCUUACACAAGUCCUAUGGUCUCUUGAAGUUUAAAUUACUGUAUUUCAGGCACCCAGUUCUACUGUUUCAAAAUGUUAAAGAGCCAGUGGAAUUUGGUGAAAAUUUUACCUCAAUCCAGCCAAGUUGAUGAAGAUGUACCUCUGGGAGACUGGGACAAUCAUUUCCAAAGUGGGCACAUCACCAGGGUAGUAGAGAUGAUAAAAAAAAAAAAAAUCCCACACAAUUGUUUGAGUGCUACUUGUCUAGCUGAUGCUCAGACAUCCUUUAUUUGAAAUUUAUGAUGAGAAAAGAAUAGGAGAAAAGAAGAAGCACCUGAAGUCACAAUGCAUAGCAUACUCAUGCUAGGUAAGUACUAGAUGCCACUCUGCCAAUUUGUUGCUUGGAUAUGACAGCAGAAAUCAUGCUGCCUAGACUUUCUUGGAAACUAUUUUGUAAUCUUGCACUGUAGAUAGUGAAUACUGUCAAGGGUAAUGCAAUCACCUUGUCUGUUGACAAACAUUGAGUUCCAGCAAAAUUUUCUUUCU